rnacentral:rRNA from 1 species
AACGAACGCUGGCGGCAGGCCUAACACAUGCAAGUCGAGCGAGGACUUCGGUCCUAGCGGCGGACGGGUGAGUAACGCGUGGGAACGUGCCCUUUGCUUCGGAAUAGCCCUGGGAAACUGGGAGUAAUACCGGAUGAGCCCUUUGGGGGAAAGAUUUAUCGGCGAAGGAUCGGCCCGCGUUGGAUUAGGUAGUUGGUGGGGUAAUGGCCUACCAAGCCGACGAUCCAUAGCUGGUUUGAGAGGAUGAUCAGCCACACUGGGACUGAGACACGGCCCAGACUCCUACAGGAGGCAGCAGUGGGGAAUCUUAGACAAUGGGGGAAACCCUGAUCUAGCCAUGCCGCGUGAGCGAUGAAGGCCUUAGGGUUGUAAAGCUCUUUCAGCUGGGAAGAUAAUGACGGUACCAGCAGAAGAAGCCCCGGCUAACUCCGUG